CAUCAAACGCCUAUACACGACCUGGGAAGACCGCUAGCAGUUGAGCAUGCGUAGCGUUCGUACUGGCCUUCUAAAGAGCAACAAUUAUAUCCCAUACUUUUCUCCGACGACGCACCAUACGAUUGUUCCGGAAAUGAUCAUUGCUAGCGUAGAAACAAGGCCAACGAUUCUAAUAUCCAAACAAACGUUCAUUGAUCAUCGGAGCAUCGAAGAUAAAUAAAACCUCGGAUACAACUUCCCUUUCUCUCACGGUCGGAGGCGAGGUCGAUGAUUGGCCGUGUGGAACAGUGCAAUGCGCUGUAUUGUAAAAAGGAUCGGUCUGUUGCUGGUUCUUUUGAAGCUUUUGGAACAGAGGAAUCCAGCGAAUCAGUUGCUAAACGAUCAAAAUUAGAUGUGCUCCGUAAACAAAGAUCAUUUCUGCAGGAGAAGAUGCCACUAUCGUAGGAUUCGUCGUUACGAGACGGUGGUUCGUGCAGGUCCUUGCAGCAGGAGUGGCACCCACUGUUGGCAGUCCAGUUUUUUUUUUAUUUCGGAAGAAUGCAUCUGACGCCAACUCCUUGGGUAGAACUAAUUGCAAAUUAUUGAUUGCGGUGAUGUGCGGUCUGCGGAAUCUCGUGUCCUACCUGAAGCAGAAAGAAGCGGCCGGCGGUGUGCUCUACAACUACGGAAGCAACCGGUGUGCUCUACUCAUUCCCGCCAUGCGAUGUUUCGACAGAAUUGUUUAAACGAACAUGUCACAACCUCACUGAAGGAAGACCAUCUGGUAAUCGUGGUGGUCCGAGGAGGAACAAUCCUCUGAUGUCCCUUCUUUCUGGUAUUGCAGCAACUAGUCCAUAUUGGCACAGCAUACAACAUGGCUGGUCUAAACAUUUGUUUGUAAAUCAAAAGUUUGUUCUUAAGACAAAGUUUUGAUUUUCUGUUUAUAAGUGGAUAUAGACACUUAAUAUAUUUGUUACAUUUGGCUUGAAGGCCUUCAAUGUGAUUUUUAAAAGUUAAUUUUUGAUCUAGCAGAAGUCCUAAAUAUUUAGAAUUCUGAUAAAAAGUUUACCUGCAGUGAGCGAUCUGAUAAAUAAUUUUGGAUCAGUUUAAUAGCUGGUUGGUUGUUUGCUCAUUGUUUGUUUACUGCUUCAUUGUUUGUUGGUUGAUUGAUUGGUUAUUUAGUUGAUUGGUUGGUUGGUUGAUUGUUGGUUGGUAGAAUGAUUAAUUGGUUGGUUGCUGCUUGAUUUGUUAGUUGGUAGAACUGUUGAAUGGUUGGUUGCUUGAUUGGUUGGUUAUUUGGUUGAUUGGUUGUUUGACUGGUUGAUUGAUUGGUUGGUCGACUGGUUAGUUGACAUGUUGUUUUGUUGGUUGCUUGGUUGGUUGAUUAGUUGAUUUGUUGCUUGAUUGAUUGGUAGCUUACUUGAAUGGCUGAUUGCUGGAUUAGUUGGUUGGUUAUUUGGUUGAUGGGUUGCUUUACCGUUUGAUUGAAUGAUUGGUCGGCUGGUUGGUUGAUUAGUUGAUUGAUUGAUUGAUUAGUUGAUUGGUUGGUUGUUGCUUGAUUUGUUAGUAGGUAGAAUUGUUGAUUAGUUAGUUCCUUGAUAGUUGGUUGUUUGGUUGCUUCAUUGUUUGUUGGUUGAUUGAUUGGUUAUUUAGUUGAAUGGUUGCAUGAUUGGUGGGCCCUCCUUAGCCGUGCGGUAAGACGCGCGGCUACAAAGCAAGACCAUGCUGAGGGUGGCUGGGUUCGAUUCCCGGUGCCGGUCUAGACAAUUUUCGGAUUGGAAAUUGUCUCGACUUCCGUGGGCCUAAAAGUAUCAUUGUGUUAGCCUCAUGAUAUACGAAUGCAAAAAUGGUAACUUGGCUUAGAAACCUCGCAGUUAAUAACUGUGGAAGUGCUUAAUGAACACUAAGCUGCGAGGCGGCUCUGUCCCAGUGUGGGGAUGUAAUGCCAAUAAGAAGAAGAAGAAGGUUGCAUGAUUGGUUGGUUGGUAGAAUGAUUAAUUGGUUGGUUGCUGCUUGAUUUGUUAGUUGGUAGAACUGUUGAAUGGUUGGUUGCUUGAUUGGUUGGUUAUUUGGUUGUUUGACUGGUUGAUUGAUUGGUUGGUCGGCUGGUUAGUUGAUUAAUUGUUUUGUUGGUUGCUUAAAUGGCUGAUUAGUUGGUUGCUUGAUUGGUUGAUUGGUGGCUUGCUUGAUUGGUUGGUUGCUGGAAUCGUUGACUAGUUAAUUAUUCAGUUGAUUGGUUGCUUGAUUGGUUGAUUUAUUAGUUGAUUGGUUGAUUAGUUGGUUGGUUGAUUGUUGGUCGGUUGCUUGAUGGGUUGAUUAGUUGUUUUGUUGAUUGCUUGAUUGGUAGAUUAGUUGGUUGGUUGCCUGAUUAUUGGUUGGUUGCUUGAUUUGUUAGUUUGUAGAAUGAUUGAUUGAUUGUUUGGUUGCUGCUUGAUUUGUUAGUUGGUAGAACUGUUGAAUGGUUUAUAUUUGGUUGGUUGCUUAAUUGGUUGCUUCAUUGUUGGUUGGUUGCUUGACUGGUUGAUUGAUUGUUGGUCGGCUGGUUAGUUGAUUAGUUGUUUUGUUGGUUUCUUGGUUAAUUGGUUAAUAAGUUGAUUGCUAGGUCGCUUGAUUGGUUAGUUAUUUGGUUGAUGGGUUGGUUGGUUGCUGCUUGAUUUGUUAGUUGGUAGAAUGGUUGUUUCAUUGUUGGUUGAUUGAUUGAUUUUUUGGUAAAUUGGUUGAUUGGUUGCUUGACUGGUUGAUUGUUUGGUUGCUUGAUUGGCUGGUCGGCUGGUUAUUGAUAUGUUGUUUAGUUCGUUGCUUCAAUGGUUGCUUGGUUGGUUGAUUAGUUGAUUCGUUGCUUGAUUGAUUGGUAGCUUGCUUGAUUGGCUGAUUGCUGGAUUAGCCAAUCAAGCAACCAAUCAACUAAAUAAACAACCAAGCAACCAACAAACAAUGAAGCAAUAAACCAACCAAUUAAGCAACCAGCCAACUAUCAAGGAACCAACUAAUCAACAGUUCUACCAACUAACUAAUCGAGCAUAACCAACCAAUCAAUCAAUCAAUCAACUAAUCAACCAAUCAAGAAACCAAAAAAAAAACAACUAAUCAACCAAUUGAUUGUUGGUUGGUUGCCAAUCCAACCAACCAAUCAGGUUAUUUGAUUGAUUGGUUGCUUGCCUGGUUGAUUGAUUGGUUGGUCGGCUGGUUAGUUGAUACUGUUUUGUUCAACCGUUCAAGACGAGUUUAGGACUCUCCAUUUAAUUCCAACAAUUAUUUUGACAUCUUUGCAGAUACGUAUUUCGACCACAACUGUGUGGUCGUAUUCAGUGUCUCGUACUUGACUCGACUGUUUUGUUGCUUGCUUGAUUAGUUCGUAGGUUGGAUAAUUGAUUGGUUGGUUAUUUGGUUGAUCGGUUGAUUGGUUGCUGCUUGAUUUGUUAGUUGGUAGAAUGAUUGAUUGGUUGGUUGGUUGCUUGAUUGUUGAUUGGUUCUCAAUCUUACCAACUAAUCAGGUUAUUUGGUUGAUUGGUUGCUUGACUAAUUGAUUGAUUAGUUGCUUGAUUGGUUGGUCGGCUGGUAGGUUCAUAUGUUGUUUUGUUGGUUGCUUGGUUGAUGAUUAGUUGGUUGGUUGCUUGAUUGCUUGGUUGAUUGGUAGCUUGCCUGAAUGGCUGAUUGCUGGAUUAGUUGGUUGAUUGCUUAAUUGGUUGGUUAUUUGGUUGAUUGUUUGCUUUACUGGUUGAUUGAAUGGUUGGUCGGCUGGUUAGUUGAUUAGUUGUUUUGUUGGUUGCUUGAAUGGUUGAUUGGUUGGUUGCUUAUUUGGUUGAUUAGCUUGUUGGUUGAUUGGUUGAUUAGUUACUUGGUUGAUUGGUAGCUUGCUUAAUUGGUUGGUUGCUGGAUUAGUUGAUUGAUUGGUGGUUGGUUACUUAUUUGGUUGAUUGAUUGUUUUACUUGAUUGAUUGGUUGUGGUUAUUUAGUUGAUUGGUUGGUCGUUUCGUUAAUUGGUAAGUUGUUUAGUUGAUUGGUCGCUUGAUUGGUUGGUUGAUUGGUAGCUUACAUGAUUGGUUGGUUGCUGCUUGAUUUGUCAGUUGGAAGUAUGGUUGAUUGAUUGGUUGCUUGAUUGUUGGUUGGUUGGUUGACUGGUUGAUUGGUUGGUUGCUUGUUUGUUAGUAGGCUGGUUAGUUGAUUAGUUGUUUUGUUGAUUGCUUGGUUGAUUGGUUAAUAAGUUGUUUGCUAGGUUGCUUGAUUGGUUAGUUAUUUGGUUGAUGGGUUGGUUGGUUGCUGCUUGAUUUGUUAGUUGGUAGAAUGGUUGAUUGGUUGGUUGCUUCAUUGUUGGUUGAUUGAUUGAUUGAUUAAUUGAUUGGUAAUUUGGUUAAUUGGUUGCUUGACUGGUUGAUUAUUUGGUUGCUUGAUUGGCUGAACGGCUGGUUAGUUGAUAUGUUGUUUUAUUGGUUGCUUGGUUGGUCGAUUAAUUGAUUCGUUGCUUGAUUGAUUGGUAGCUUGCUUGAAUGGCUGAUUGCUGGAUUAGCCAAUCAAGCAACCAAUCAACUAAAUAACCAACCAAGCAACCAACAAACGAUGAAGCAACCAGCCAACUAUCUAGGAACCAACUAAUCAACAGUUCUACCAACUAACAAAUCAAGCAACAACCAACCAAUCAACCAACCAAGCAACCAACAAAACAACAUAUCAACUAACCAGCCAACCAGCAGAUCAACCAGUCAAGCAACUAAUCAACCAAAUUACCAACCAAUCAAUCAAUCAACCAACAAUGAAGCAACCAACCAAUCAACCAUUCUAUCAACUAACAAAUCAAGCAGCAACCAACCAACCCAUCAACCAAAUACUUAACCAAUCAAUCAACUAACCAAUCAAGCAAUCAACAAAACAACUAAUCCACUAACCAGCCUACUAUAACCAACAAGAAAUCAACCAAUCAACCAGUCAAGCAACCAACCAACAAUCAAGCAACCAACAAUUCAAGCAACCAAUCAAUAACGAAUCAAACAACCAAUCAACUAAAUAACCAACCAAUCAACUAAAUAACCAACCAAUCAACUAACCAACCAAUCCAGCAAUCAACUUAUUAACCAAUCAACCAAGCAGCCAACAAAACAACUAAUCAACUAACCAGCCUACUAACCAAUCAAUCAACAUGUCAAGCAACCAACCAAUCAACCAUACUACCAACUAACAAAUCAAGCAGCAAUCAAUCAAGCAAUCAAGCAACCAACCAACUAAUCAAGCAACCAACCAAUCAAUCAAGCAAGCAACUAACCAACUAAUUAACCAAUCAACUAAACAACUUAUCAAUUAACGAGACGACCAAACAAUGAAGCAACCAAUCAACUAAAUAACCACAACCAAUCAAUCAAGUAAAGCAACCAAUCAACCAAAUAAGUAACCAACCGUCAAUCAAUCAACUAAUCCAGCAACCAACCAAUCAAGCAAGCUACCAAUCAACCAACUAACUAAUCAACCAAUCAACCAACAAGCUAAUCAAUCAAAUAAGCAACCAACAAAACAACUAAUCAACUAACAAGCCGACCAACCAAUCAAUCAGUCAAGCAACCAAACAACCAAAUAACCUACCAAUCAAUCAAUUAAACCACUAAUCAACCAAUUAAGCAAAUAACCAUUCUUCCAACUAACAAAUCAAGCAAGCAACCAACCAACCAGUCAACCAAUCAAGAAACCAAAUAACAAACCAAUCAAUCAACUAACACAUCAAGCAACCAACAAGCUAAUCAACCAAAUAAGCAACCAACCAAUCAACUAUUCAAGCAACCAACAAAACAACUAAUCAACUAACCAGCCGACCAACUAUUCAAUCAACCAGUAAAGCAAACAAUCAACCAAUUAAGCAACCAACCAACUAAUCCAGCAAUCAGCCAUUCAGGCAAGCUACCAAUCAACCAAGCAAUCAAGCAACCAACCAACUAAUCAUCAACCAAGCAACCAUUGAAGCAACCAACAAAACAACAUAUGAACUAACCAGCCGACCAACCAUUCAAUCAACCAGUCAAGCCAGUCAUGCAACCAAUCAAUCAAAUAACCUGAUUGGUUGGUUGGAUUGGCAACCAACCAACAAUCAAGCAACCAACCAAUCAACCAUUCUUCCAACUAACAAAUCAAGCUGCAACCAAAUAACCAACAAAUCAAGCAACCAACCAAUCAACCAUACCAUACUACCAACUAACAAAUCAAGCAGCAGCCAACCAAAUAAUCAUCCAACCAAUCAAGUAACCAACCAGUCAAACAAGCUAUCAAUCUACCAACUAAUCAACCAAUCAAGCAACCAAAAAACUAAUUAACCAAGCAAUCAACAAAACAACUUAUCAACUUACCAGCCGACCAACUAAUCAACCAAUCAACUAAAUAACCACAACUAAUCAAUCAACCAGUGAACCAAACAGUCAACAACUUAAGCAACCAACCAUUCAACCAUUCAAGCAAGCUACCAUACCAAUCAAUCAAUCAAGCAACUUAGCUGAGUCGAUUGAUGUGUAACAAUAUGGAUCUUCGGGCCUCUCAACAAAAGUUCGUUUUGAAGUGAUCUUAAAAUGAUAUGUAUUCGUAAUCAUUACGGUAAUCUAUUACAUAUUACGGUAGUGUGGGCAGCAAUGCGAAUCACCAAGUCAUGCAAAUGUAUCUCCGUUAAUAUAAUCAAUGAAAAAUGAAAAAUUGAGCGCAUCUGGCGAAUAUUGUUUUCAUUAGCUGUUUCACUAAUUUUCUGCUCUCGACGAGUUUCCGAAUUUGGCGAGACAAUAUUCCCAUUUUGCUUCUUUGGAGGAUCUGAGCGCCGGCGUUCUCAUAAUCUUCUGCAUCGGUAGCAAAUGUUGUAUUCCUGAACCCUUUUAUUGGUUCCAACACAAGGCCGUCGGAGUAUGCCACCAUAUUUUUAGGUUUGCGACGAUCAACAGCUGCUUCCGGUUUCUAUUUAUUAUCGAAUGACAAGGUAAAACCGUAACUGCUUCCAGACAUUGAACUGAAAUUCCGUUCUUAGCAAACCAUGAAACUUUGGUAACCAAUACCUUCUUCUUCUUAUUGGCAUUACACCCCACACUGGGACAGAGCCGCCUCGCAGCUUAGUGUUCAUUAAGCACUUCCACAGUUAUUAGUGAGCUAGCUACCAAUCAACCAAGCAAUCAAUGAACCAACCAACUAAUCAACCAAUCAAAGAACCAAUCAAUUAACCAUUCAAGCAAUCAAUAAAACUACUAAUCAACUAAACAAGCAACCAAAUAAGCAACUAACCAAUCGAGCAACCAACCAUUCAAGCCCACUUCCAAUCACUCAAGCAACCAAUUAACCAAUCAAGCAACUAAUCAAUCAACCAACCCAUCAAUUAAGCAACCAUCCAAUCAAUCAAGCAAUAAACCAAUCAACCAACCAAUCAAGCAAUUAAUCAUUUAGGCAAGCUACCAAAGAACUAACCAAACAAUAAACCAUUUAGACAAUCAACCUACCAAGCAACUACCAAUCAAGUAACCAACCAUUCAGCCAACUAACAAAUCAAGCAGGGGCCAUCCUUAGCCGUGCGGUAGGAGGCGCGACUACAAAGCAAGACCAUGCUGAGGGUGGCUGGGUUCAAUUCCCGGUGCCAGUCUAGGCAAUUUUCGGAUUGGGAAUUGUCUCGACUUCCCUGGGCAUAAAAGUAUUAUCUUAGCCUCAUUAUAUACGAAUGUAAAAAUGGUAACCUGGCUUAGAAACCUCACAGGUAAUAACUGUGGAUGUGCUUAAUGAACACUAAGCUGCGAGGCAGCUCUGCCCCAGUGUGGGGAUGUAAUGCCAAUAAGAAGAAAAAGAACAAAUCAAGCAACCAAUCAAUCGAGCAACCAAAUCACCAAUCAACUUUAUAAAUAAAGAAUCAAGUUACCAACUAAACAAUCGAGCAACCAAUCAUUCAAGCCCACUUCCAAUCAAUCAAGCAAACAAUUAACCAAUCAAGCAACUAAUCAAUCUACCAACCCCCCAACUAAGCAACCAACAAAUCAAUCAAGUAACAAACCAAUCAAUUUGUUAAGAAAAUUAUUUUGAACUUUUUAGUGGAAUGUCUUCACUUGUCAUAAGACGAGGACGAGUCGAGUCAAGUACGAAACACUGAAGACGGUUUUACUGUUGGUUGAAAUACGUAUCUGUCAAGAAACAAUUAAGUGGUAGAAUUCAAUGGGAUUGUACAAACUCGUCUUAUGACAAGGGAAACCAAUCAAACAAACAAUCAUUCUAACCCACUUCCAAUUAAUUAUGCAACCAUUAACCAAUCUACCAAUCAACCAACCAACCAUUCAAGCAAGCUACCAAUCAACUUCCAACCAAUCAAGCAAUUAAACAUUUAACCAACUAACAAAUCAACUAAUCAAUCAAUCAACCAACCAACUAAUCAACCAAUCAAGCAACCAAAAAACAAAUAAUCAACUAACCAGCUGACCAAAAAAUCAAGCAACCAAUAAAUCAACCAUUUAAGCAAGCUACCAAUUAACUAACCAAUCAAUAAAACAAUUAGGCAUUCAAGCGAGCUACCAACCAACCAUUCAACCAACUAACAAAUCAACCAACCAACCACCCAAUUAUUCAACCAUUCAAGCAAACUAUACCAAUCAACCAACCAACCAUUCAAACAACCUACCAAUCCACCAGCCUGUCAACCAACCAAUCAAACAACCUACUGAUCAAUCAAGUAACCCAAUCAACUUUUCAAGCAACCAACAUGAAAACCAUUCAAGCAAACAAUAAAACAAUCAAUCAACCAUUCAAGCAAGCUACCAAUAAACUAAAUUAGGCAACCAUCCUAUUAAACAACCAUCCUAUCAAGCAUCUUACCAAUCAACCAAGCAACCAAUCAUUCAACCAUUCAAGCAAGCUACCAAUCAAUUAAAAAAUAAAUCAAGCAACCAAUAAACCUAUCAAGCAACUAACCAACCAAUUAGGCAACCAACCAAUCAAACAACCAAUCAAGGAAACAAUCAUUCAAGACUAACCAAUCAAUCAAGCAACCAUUAACCAAUCAAGCAAUUAACGAAUCAAACAAGCUAUCAAUCAACCAACUAACUUAUCAAGCAAAUAAUCAUUUCACCAACUAACAAAUCAAUCAAUCAACCAACCAACUAAUCAAUCAACCAUUCAAGCAACCAACAAAACAACUAAUCAACUAACAAGCCGACCAACCAAAUAACCCACCAAUUAAGCAACCAAUUAAUCAAAUCAAGCAGCCAACCAAUUAACCAACUAACAAAUCAAGCAACCAACCAGUCAACCAAUCAAGGAACUCACCAUUCUACCAUUCAAGCAAGCUACGAUCAAUCAAGCAACCGACCAACAAAUAAAGCAAUCAAGCAACUUAGCAAUCAAUUAGGCAACAAACCAAUCAAUUAAUUUAUCGAGCUGAGUCGAUUGAUGUAUUAUGUGGAUUUCCGGAUAUCCUAUUAAAAGGAUUAAAAGUUCAUUUUUAAGUGAUCCUAAGAUAUGUAUUCGUAAUAAUUAAGGGCCCUCCUUAGCCGUGCGGUAAGACUCGCGGCUACAAAGCAAGACCAUGUUGAGGGUGGCUGGGUUCGACUCCCGGUGCCGGUCUAGGCAAUUUUCGGAUUGGAAGCAAUUCUCGUCCAAAUAUUUUAUAUUGUACGGGAAAACUUGCAAAACAUGACCUGAAGCUCCAAGCGGUCACUCCGCCGACAAAAGGGAUUACGAUCAUCGUCGCCUUCUAUCAGAUUUGUGUGUUUUUCUACCGAAUUUGAUUUGUAAAACAUCUUCAUUAAAAAUUGUAUACUUUU